rnacentral:rRNA from 1 species
UCGAGCACGCGAGACCUUACCAGGUCUUGACAUCCUCUGAACACUCUAAAGAUAGAGUUUUCCCUUCGGGGACAGAGUGACAGGGGGUGCAUGGUUGUCGUCAGCUCGUGUCGUGAGAUGUUGGGUUAAGUCCCGCAACGAGCGCAACCCUUGAUCUUAGUUGCCAGCAUUAAGUUGGGCACUCUAAGGUGACUGCCGGUGACAAACCGGAGGAAGGUGGGGAUGACGUCAAAUCAUCAUGCCCCUUAUGACCUGGGCUACACACGUGCUACAAUGGAUGGAACAAAGGGAAGCGAACCCGCGAGGUCAAGCAAAUCCCACAAAACCAUUCUCAGUUCGGAUUGUAGGCUGCAACUCGCCUACAUGAAGCCGGAAUCGCUAGUAAUCGCGGAUCAGCAUGCCGCGGUGAAUACGUUCCCGGCUCUUGUACACACCCGCC